UACGUAGGGGGCAAGCGUUGUCCGGAUUUAUUGGGCGUAAAGAGCUCGUAGGCGGUUGGGGAAGUCGGGCGUGAAAUACCGGAGCUCAACUCCGGGACGCCGUCCGAUACUCCCCUGACUAGAGUCCGGUAGGGGAAGGUGGAAUUUCUGGUGUAGCGGUGAAAUGCACAGAUAUCAGAAGGAACACCGGUGGCGAAGGCGGCCUUCUGGGCCGGUACUGACGCUGAGGAGCGAAAGCUAGGGGAGCAAACAGG
rnacentral:misc_RNA from 1 species